UACGUAGGGGGCAAGCGUUGUCCGGAUUUAUUGGGCGUAAAGCGCUCGCAGGUGGUUCGUCGCGUCGUGCGUGAAAGACCCCGGCUCAACUGGGGGAUGUCGUGCGAUACGGGCGGACUGGAGGCCAGUAGGGGGAUGCGGAAUUCCGGGUGUAGCGGUGGAAUGCGCAGAUAUCAGGAGGAACACCGGUGGCGAAGGCGGUUCUCUGGGCCUGUUCUGACGCUGAGGAGCGAAAGCGUGGGGAGCGAACAGG
rnacentral:rRNA from 1 species